UACGGAGGGAGCUAGCGUUGUUCGGAAUUACUGGGCGUAAAGGGCGCGUAGGCGGUCUGCUAAGCGUGUGGUGAAAGCUCGGGGCUCAACCCCGCGUCGGCCAUGCGAACUGGUGGACUGGAGCUUGUCAGAGGCAGGCGGAAUUCCGGGUGUAGCGGUGGAAUGCGUAGAGAUCCGGAAGAACACCGGUGGCGAAGGCGGGUCUCUGGGGCAGUAACUGGACGCUGAGGAGCGAAAGCGUGGGGAGCGAACAGG
rnacentral:rRNA from 1 species